rnacentral:rRNA from 1 species
AUAAGUAGAGUGGCAAACGGGUGAGUAACACGUGGGUGACCUGCCUUCGAGCGGGGGAUAACGUCCCGAAAGGGACGCUAAUACCGCAUAACAUCCUGCCUUUUAAGAGGUGGAGAUCAAAGCCGGGGAUCGCAAGACCUGGCACUUGAAGAGGGGCCCGCGCCUGAUUAGCUAGUUGGUGGGGUAAUGGCCUACCAAGGCAACGAUCAGUAUCCGGCCUGAGAGGGCGGACGGACACACUGGGACUGAGACACGGCCCAGACUCCUACGGGAGGCAGCAGUGGGGAAUUGUUCGCAAUGGGCGCAAGCCUGACGACGCAACGCCGCGUGGAGGAUGAAGACCUUCGGGUCGUAAACUCCUUUCGAUCGAGACGAAUGUUUUUCGGGUGAACAAUCCGGAAA